GCGUAGACCUCGUCAUCGAGGGCACGGGGGUGUUCGUCGACCGCGAGGGCGCCGGGAAGCACAUCCAGGCGGGAGCCAAGAAGGUGCUCAUCACGGCGCCAGGGAAGGGCGACAUCCCCACCUACGUCUGCGGCGUCAAUGCUGACCAGUACAACCCCGACGAGCCCAUCAUCAGCAACGCCUCCUGCACCACCAACUGUCUCGCGCCCUUCGUCAAGGUCCUCGACCAGAAGUUCGGUGCGUGCUCCAUUAUAUAUGCUCUCUUCUGCAAUAUUGUAAUGAGUCCAUGUCCCGAUCAGGCUUGGCAUGACGAUGCUUACUAAGACCUAGCAAUUAAUAUGAUGCAUCGCAUCGCAGGCAUCAUCAAGGGCACCAUGACCACCACCCACUCCUACACCGGUGACCAGAGGCUGCUGGACGCCAGCCACCGCGACCUGCGCCGCGCCCGCGCCGCCGCGCUCAACAUCGUGCCCACCUCCACCGGCGCCGCCAAGGCCGUGGCGCUGGUGCUCCCCAACCUCAAGGGCAAGCUCAACGGGAUCGCGCUCCGGGUGCCCACCCCGAACGUCUCCGUCGUCGACCUCGUCGUGCAGGUCUCCAAGAAGACCCUCGCCGAGGAGGUGAACCAGGCGUUCCGCGACAGCGCCGCCAACGAGCUCGCCGGCAUCCUCGAGGUCUGCGACGCCCCGCUCGUGUCCGUCGA
rnacentral:lncRNA from 1 species